UGGCUAGUACAAAGCUGACUGCCCGAAAUGAACCACUGGUAAAGCAUCCAGGAAGCAACUGGCUAUAAAAGCUGCUCGCAAGAGUGUGCCCUCUACUGCAGGGGUGAAGAAACCUCAUCAUUACAGGCCUGGUACUGUGGCACUCGGUGAAAUCAGACGUUAUCAGAAGUCCACUAAACUGAUUCGCAAACCUCCCUUCCAGCGUCUGGUGCAACAAAUUGCUCAGGACUUAAAAACAGAUUGGCACUUCCAAAGUGCAGCUAUUGGUGCUUUGCAAGAAGUAAGUGAGGCCUAUCUCGUUGGCCUUUUUGAAGACACCAACCUGUGCACUAUCCAUGCCAAAUGAGUAACAACAGACAUCAAGCUAGCAUACUACAUAUGCAGAGAAUGUGCUU
rnacentral:lncRNA from 1 species